UGGAGUAUAACUCAGUGGUAGAGUGCUACCCUUACAUGGUAGAGGUCUCAGGUUCGAAUCCUGAUACUCCAA
rnacentral:tRNA from 1 species